UAAACGCUGAAGGCAUCUAAGCGUGAAGCCCCCCUCAAGAUGAGAUAUCCCAUAACACAAGUUAGUAAGACCCGUUGUAGACUACAACGUUGAUAGGUCGGAGGUGUAAGUGCAGUAAUGCAUUGAGCUGACCGAUACUAAUAGGUCGAGGGCUUGAUCAC
rnacentral:rRNA from 1 species